rnacentral:tRNA from 1 species
AUUUUGAUGGCUGAAAUUUAGGCGAUAGAUUGUAAAUCUAUAUAUGACUUAAAAGUCUCUUGUA